GACGAACGCUGGCGGCGUGCUUAACACAUGCAAGUCGAACGGAAAGGCCCUGCUUGCAGGGUACUCGAGUGGCGAACGGGUGAGUAACACGUGGGUGAUCUGCCCUGCACUUCGGGAUAAGCCUGGGAAACUGGGUCUAAUACCGGAUAGGAGCCAUUUUUAGUGUGAUGGUUGGAAAGUUUUUUCGGUGUAGGAUGAGCUCGCGGCCUAUCAGCUUGUUGGUGGGGUAAUGGCCUACCAAGGCGGCGACGGGUAGCCGGCCUGGGAGGGUGGACGGCCACAUUGGGACUGGGAUACGGCCCAGACUCCUACGGGAGGCAGCAGGGGGGAAUAUUGCACAAUGGGCGCAAGCCUGAUGCAGCGACGCCGCGGGGGGGAUGACGGCCUUCGGGUUGUAAACUCCUUUCGCUAGGGACGAAGCUGUUUGUGACGGUACCUAGAUAAGAAGCACCGGCUAACUACGUG
rnacentral:rRNA from 1 species